UACGUAGGGGGCUAGCGUUGUCUGGAAUCAUUGGGCGUAAAGAGCGUGUAGGCGGUCCGGUAAGUCCGCUGUGAAAGUCGGGGGCUCAACCCUCGAAUGCCGGUGGAUACUGUCGGGCUUGAGUGCGGAAGAGGCGAGUGGAAUUCCUGGUGUAGCGGUGAAAUGCGCAGAUAUCAGGAGGAACACCUAUUGCGAAGGCAGCUCGCUGGGACGUAACUGACGCUGAGACGCGAAAGCGUGGGGAGCAAACAGG
rnacentral:rRNA from 1 species